AGUGGCGCACGGGUGAGUAACGCGUAUGCAACCUACCUGUAACAGAGGGAUAGCCCAUAGAAAUGUGGAUUAACACCUCAUAGUUCUUAUUAGUCGCAUGACUGAAAAGAUAAAACUCCGGUGGUUACAGAUGGGCAUGCGUGACAUUAGCUAGUUGGUAAGGUAACGGCUUACCAAGGCUACGAUGUCUAGGGGUUCUGAGAGGAUGAUCCCCCACACUGGUACUGAGACACGGACCAGACUCCUACGGGAGGCAGCAGUGAGGAAUAUUGGUCAAUGGGCGCAAGCCUGAACCAGCCAUCCCGCGUGCAGGAUGACGGCCCUAUGGGUUGUAAACUGCUUUUAUACACCAAGAAAAAUCCCCACGUGUGGGGACCCGACGGUAGUGUAUGAAUAAGCAUCGGCUAACUCCGUGCCAGCAGCCGCGGUAAUACGGAGGAUGCAAGCGUUAUCCGGAUUCAUUGGGUUUAAAGGGUGCGUAGGCGGCUUUUUAAGUCAGUGGUGAAAUCCUGCCGCUUAACGGUAGAAUUGCCAUUGAUACUGAAAAGCUUGAGUACAUUUGAGGUAAGCGGAAUGUGUAGUGUAGCGGUGAAAUGCUUAGAUAU
rnacentral:rRNA from 1 species